rnacentral:rRNA from 1 species
CCUACGGGUGGCAGCAGUGAGGAAUAUUGGUCAAUGGACGAGAGUCUGAACCAGUCAAAUAGCGUGAAGGAUGACUGCCCUAUGGGUUGUAAACUUCUUUUAUAUGGGAAUAAAAUGUUCCACGUGUGGGAUUUUGUAUGUACCAUAUGAAUAAGGAUCGGCUAACUCCGUGCCAGCAGCCGCGGUAAUACGGAGGAUCCGAGCGUUAUCCGGAUUUAUUGGGUUUAAAGGGAGCGUAGGUGGAUUGUUAAGUCAGUUGUGAAAGUUUGCGGCUCAACCGUAAAAUUGCAGUUGAAACUGGCAGUCUUGAGUACAGUAGAGGUGGGCGGAAUUCGUGGUGUAGCGGUGAAAUGCUUAGAUAUCACGAAGAACUCCGAUUGCGAAGGCAGUUCACUGGACUGCAACUGACACUGAGGCUCGAAAGUGUGGGUAUCAAACAGGAUUAGAUACCCGAGUAGUC